UACGUAGGGUGCAAGCGUUGUCCGGAAUUAUUGGGCGUAAAGAGCUCGUAGGCGGUUUGUCGCGUCUGCUGUGAAAAUCCAGGGCUUAACCCUGGACCUGCAGUGGGUACGGGCAGACUGGAGUGCGGUAGGGGAGAUCGGAAUUCCUGGUGUAGCGGUGAAAUGCGCAGAUAUCAGGAGGAACACCGGUGGCGAAGGCGGGUCUCUGGGCAGUAACUGACGCUGAGGAGCGAAAGCGUGGGGAGCGAACAGG
rnacentral:rRNA from 1 species